CUUCCAUCGCACACCACCUGAUCAGAGCAAGGACUUGGAAAGCAUCUCACCGAAACCAAAGACGGCGUACAAACUCCUGGAGCCUUGGAGGGUGGUGGUGAAGAGCCCAGCAGAGCUCACACUCUGACCUGGAGACGCUCCUUCCAGGAAUUCAUAAAGAUACACAGACAAGGAUAAUGGCUAACAUACUUCUGCUA